rnacentral:rRNA from 1 species
UUUUAGUGGCGGACGGGUGAGUAAACGCGUGGGUAACCUGCCUCACACUGGGGGAUAACACUUAGAAAUAGGUGCUAAUACCGCAUAAGCGCACGGGACUGCAUGGUCUUGUGUGAAAAACUCCGGUGGUGUGAGAUGGACCCGCGUCUGAUUAGCUGGUUGGCGGGGUAACGGCCCACCAAGGCGACGAUCAGUAGCCGGCCUGAGAGGGUGGACGGCCACAUUGGGACUGAGACACGGCCCAAACUCCUACGGGAGGCAGCAG